CUCCAUGUCAGCCCCAAGAAGUAUAUUGGUUGGCUGUCAUAACAUGUACGGAUUUUGAUUACUUGAAUUUGCAGAUUUACUUGAGUCUUUCAUAUAAUGCAACCAACCUUGAUGUCUCGAUGAACAAUGCAGCCUUCAGGGUAUCUGUGAAGGAACCAAAGACCACAAGCACUGCCAAGUGCAAUCUGAAGUCUCCGAUUCCAUGUCAGGUUCUUGUCCUUCCCUGCAAUCAAAAUGUUACUUUUAGUCAUAACAUUACAUGUUUAGCACAUCCUGCCAUUUCCUCAAAUAGGUACUUACCAAAUAGCCAUUCAGAUAGGUUACCAUUGAUGCAUAACUCAUACACAAGAAAGCACUCAUCCUGCCCGUCACAGUAACCUCUUAACGACACAAGAUUUGGAUGCCUGACAUGAGAGAGGCUUGUGACUUCCCUUAGGAAGGUUUCUGCAUGCUCAUUCUUAAUUAUGUGUUUCACUGCAACAGGCCAGCCAUUUGCAAGCAUUCCUCUGUACACUUUCCCUGGAAAUCACAUUAGGAAGAGGGUGCAUCCAACUCUUAGAGAAGCAAUAACCUACUGAAUGCGAUUAUUACCUUCUACUUCUCAGUUCUUACAUCAGAGUUAUGCUCUCUGUGAUUUUAUUUCAUUCAUGAAUAGAUAUUCUGAUUCUGAACUGUCUGGUAUUGUCAUAUACCUGCA
rnacentral:lncRNA from 1 species